rnacentral:rRNA from 1 species
UAGUCCACGCCGUAAACGAUGAGUGCUAGGUGUUGCGGGUAUUGACCCCUGCAGUGCCACAGCUAACGCAUUAAGCACUCCGCCUGGGGAGUACGGUCGCAAGAUUAAAACUCAAAGGAAUUGACGGGGACCCGCACAAGCGGUGGAGCAUGUGGUUUAAUUCGACGCAACGCGCAAAACCUUACCUGGAUUUAAACUGGUGUGGACCGGUAUAGAGAUAUACUUUCCCUUCGGGGCUGCAUUAGAGGUGCUGCAUGGCUGUCGUCAGCUCGUGUCGUGAGAUGUUGGGUUAAGUCCCGCAACGAGCGCAACCCUUAUUUUAGUUGCCAUUUGGAAAUCUAGAAAGACUGCCGGUUAUAAACCGGAGGAAGGCGGGGAUGACGUCAAGUCAGCAUGCCCCUUACGCUCUGGGCUACACACGUGCUACAAUGGGCAAGACAAUAAGUUGCAAACCUGUGAAGGUUAGCUAAUCUAUAAACUUGUUCUAAGUUCGGAUUGUAGGCUGCAACUCGCCUACA